UAUUAUUUAUGUUGUAUCUUAUUUACCUUUUAGUUUCGUUUUUCCUGGAAACUCUACCCUCACCCCACUGCAGAACUUGUGCAAUAUGAUGGGAAACUACAGUGAACACUUGAAUUUUAAAAAUGUAUUACAGUAAAAGACAUGAGAAUCCUCCUCAGAAUACUUUCUCACACUUAAAACACUUUUCUUCCUUUUUUUUUUUUUUUUUUUUUUGAGACAGUGUUUUGCUAUUUAGCUCAAACUGGCCUUGAAUUCUCAGUGAUCCUCCUGCCUCAGCUUUUCAAGGGCUGGGAUUAUAGGUGUGCACCACCAGUUCUUUUUUUUUUUUUUUUUUUUUUUUAAUACUAGGAAUUGAACUCAGGGCCUUCUGCUUACCAGGCAGCUGCUUAUGCCACUGAGCUACAUCCCAGGCCCUAUAACCUCUUGGGUCUUUUUUUCUUUUAUCAGGGAUUGAACUCACAACCUCAUGGUUGCCAGAUAGGCACUUGUGCCACUGAGUUAAAUCCCUGACUACCCUGCACCAUCAGCUCACACAUUUAUCUCACUUUUCUUGUCACUUGCUGAAGAGUUCUGGAAGUCCUCUGCUGUGUUUAGUUGCACUGUCUUGGCUGUCUAGAUGUCUUGAAUUGACUCAAAACAUUAACUUCUCAUGACCAUUUGUGAUAGGAUUUUGGCACGACAAAAAGACAAAGGAGAAAAGAGGCCUUUAUUGCGGACACAAGAGUGCUGUAGAAGAGAGGAAAGCAGCCUCAGAUGAGAACAAAGAAGUGGAAGUACUUUUAUCAGGUCUGGCUAGGGAGGAGUUCAGGCUGUGGGCGAAAUGACACACUAUAGCUGAUAUGAAGGAGCAUCUGUGUUUAUAAAACAGGAAGCAGAGAGAUUUACUGGGGGCUGGGAUGUAGCACUUUGUGGAGUCUUGGGAUUGGAGAGGGCUCACAUGCACAAAAGGAGCGUGGGAGGGUUUUUUGGAACUAAAACGUAGAAGUUACUGUUGGAGAGAUAAGCUGUUUCUCUGGGCCUGGCACCAAGCUGGGUGAAUGUCAUGUUGGAGCUAGCUAAGCCCCAGGCCAACAGAAUCUGUCAGUUUGAACCUCCAGAAGAGCCGGAAGUCACAGGGUGCCAAUCCCGGGGAUGAGAUGGAUGAGGACACCACGGCUGACUUUCCAUUGGAUGGCACGUGGCAGCAACUGUACUUGUGACAACGUUUGUGAAGACUCACAAUAGAGGACUGCAGACCUACUCUGGACCUGCUCCUGGAAGCAGCAAGACAGUGGGACAGAGUAUCUUUCUACAGUCUUACAAGGCUUGCUGAUAUGAAAAUCAGCUUUAAAAAGUGCCACUUAUUGCAUAUUAGGACCUGAAGUACCCAAGAAAUCACACAAAUGGCCAAAAUUGAAGGGUGACUCCAAAUUCAGCUUUCUGGAGCAGAGCAGAAUUCUGCAGAGAGAGGAGAGAAGUACCAGGGAUCGAACUCACGACUGCCUGCUUGCAAGGCAGGCGCUUAUGCCACUGAGCUAAAUCCCCAGCCCAAAAUCCCUUAUUCUUUUAAAAAUAUAAAAACAAAUGCCAACAACACUAAAGAGUCCAAUCCAAUUUAGUAAUUGUAGUCAGGGGCUACAAAGAGAACAAUUUAUAAUACUAUUUUAUGAUGGUCACCCAGAGAAAGAAAGUACAAGAAAUCUGUCCAUAGCACUAAAAACCUAGAAAAAGCCAGCCAAGGACCUGGAUCCCACAACAAUGUCCUGCAUGAGUCCAGCUGAAGACCUAGAGCCUAUAAUAAUGAUUCAUGCAAGUCUGCCCUAUAGAUCUCUGCUGGGAAGGCCCAUAGGUUGGGUGGAAUCUAAAAAGGCUAUGCUAGCAGGGUGAAGGAUCUGUGCCGGUAGGGUAACGGUUCUACAGUAGAGCCAAGGAGCAAUGCUCAAGAUAAAGACUAGGGCUUCCCCAAAAAGUACACAGCCAUCCUCAGUGACAAGGUCCCAAGCUCCUCUGACGAUAACAACAGCCAAGUUCAUACCAGGAAGCCAGCAUGACAAGCUUCUCCUAGAGACUGAACAGCACACAUCUUCCCCUCCAGAGCCAGGAAGUGAUGCUCGAAGUAAGGACCAGAGCUCCCCCAAAACGAACCGCAGACAUUCUCAGCAACAAGGUCUGGAGCUUCUCCAGUGUGCUUAUCAGGGAAGAUAGCCAUGACAAGCUCCUCCAGGAGAGCCAAGGGCUCCAAACAACAGCACAGGAGAACCCACAAUGCCACACUCUUCCCCUCCACACCUCCUUUUAUGCUGGCAACUUUCCUCAGGUGGGCCAUCUCCAUUCAGCGCCAUACUUGUUUAACUUAGCUGGUGUUAAGUUGAUGACUAAUUUGUAAUCCAUAGCAGUAAUAUUGACGUCAGAUGAUGUUAAUUUUACUGAAAUUUAACUUCCACUUCCAGAGUAAUUAUCAUAGUAGCUUUUUCCAGUAAGUAUUAUGUUCCAGACCAAAGUGUUUCAAUGACUGAAUUCAUCUAGCCUCCCAAUACCACCCCAAGUAAGUAGUAUUACUAUUAUUCUCUUAUUACUAAAUCAGAUAAGGAUUCAGAAGUUUUACUGGUCUCUUAAGGAGAUGCAUCGAGGAGGUGGCAGAGCCAGGCUUUGAACCCCAGCCAUCUGACCCAGGACCUCUUCUGGCACUGUGGUGUUCCGGGUCCUCGGCACACAACGCAGGUCCUCAGGGAGCCCAGCACAUCUGUAUUCCUACAGGCCAUGGGACUGUCUCUCAGCCUCUGUCCUCUGUGGGCACCAGAUCUAGGCUUCCUCUUGAACAGCACACGCUGGUAUAAACUGGCUUAAGUACAUCAUUUAACAUAUCAAUUUAUUGGCUCAUUUGCUCCAAGUACAGUUUUAGAGCCCAAGGGUUUAAAACACUAAAGAAAAUGUGACUGGCUGGGCGUGGCGGGGCACACCUGUAAUCCCAGCACCCUGGGAAGCUGAGGUGGGAGGACGGCAGGUUCUAGUCCAACCUGGACAACUUAGCAACAUAGCAAGACCACAGCACAAAAAAAAAAAAAAAAAAAGAAAGAAAGAAAGGGGCUGGGGGUACAGCUCGGUGUGAAGGUACUGGGUUCAGUCCCCAAGGCCACACACACAGUGUGGCCCACAAAGCUCUGAGCAGAACUCAGUUAAAAUGUAGUCAUCCCAACCAUCUGUAAUGCAUGUGUAUUAUUGUAAAAAGUUUCCUAUCAAGAUGAAUCAUGAUCUUCAGACAUGUGUACAGAAAACUAGCAAGCUGCUGCUAAUUCAUCCAUGGAGCACUGCUAAGAUUAAAAAGAACAAAGUAAAUUAUUGAGGAGAAGGUUUUUUUUAAUUCCUUCAGUGACUAUCAAAAUGUAAAGCAUAAAAUAUAUGCCUACAAAACUUAGGUGAAUGAAACAAUAAAUGUGU